CUGUAAUGAUGACCACCACUUAGGACACCUCUGAAUUAAUGAAGAGACGAGUUUCUGAGCAGC
rnacentral:snoRNA from 1 species